GACGUAGGUGGCGAACGUUAUCCGGAAUUAUUGGGCGUAAAGGGUGCGUAGGUGGCCUGACAAGUUAACAGUGGUAAAUCGAGGCUCAACCUCGUGGAAGCUGAUAAUACUGUUUGGCUCGAGUACAGAAGAGGUUAACGGAACUCCAUGUGGAGCGGUAAAAUGUGUAGAUAUAUGGAAGAACACCAAUAACGGCGAAGGCAGUUAACUACUCUGUUACUGACAUUGAGGCACGAAAGCGUGGGGAGCAAAACGG
rnacentral:rRNA from 1 species